AUUGAACGCUGGCGGCAUGCCUAACACAUGCAAGUCGAGCGGAGCGGCGGAAGGGUGAGUAAUGCCGAGUAAUCUGCCUGGUAGUGGGCGAUAACGUCCGGAAACGGGCGCUACUACAGCAUACGAUCAGAUGAGCACAGGUCGGAUUAGAUAGUGGGUGGUGUAAAGGCCUAACAAGGCGACGAUCCGUCAAUGAUCUGAGAGGAUGAUCAGUCACACGGGAACUGAAACACGGUCCAGACUCCUACGGGAGGCAGCAGUGGAGAAUAUUCGACAAUGGGAGAAAGUCUGUACUAGCCAUGCCGCGUGUGUGAAGAAGGUCUUCGGAUUGUAAAGCACUUUAAGUUGGGAAGCGUUAUCAACACAAUAAGCAACGGCUAACUUCGUGCCAGCAGCCGCGGUAAUUC
rnacentral:rRNA from 1 species